rnacentral:rRNA from 1 species
ACGUACACUCCUACGGGAGGCAGCAGUGGGGAAUAUUGGACAAUGGGGGCAACCCUGAUCCAGCCAUGCCGCGUGAGUGAUGAAGGCCCUAGGGUUGUAAAGCUCUUUUGUGCGGGAAGAUAAUGACGGUACCGCAAGAAUAAGCCCCGGCUAACUUCGUGCCAGCAGCCGCGGUAAUACGAAGGGGGCUAGCGUUGCUCGGAAUCACUGGGCGUAAAGGGUGCGUAGGCGGGUCUCUAAGUCAGGGGUGAAAUCCUGGAGCUCAACUCCAGAACUGCCUUUGAUACUGAGGAUCUUGAGUCCGGAAGAGGUGAGUGGAACUGCGAGUGUAGAUGUGAAAUUCGUAGAUAUUCGCAAGAACACCAGUGGCGAAGGCGGCUCACUGGUCCGGUACUGACGCUGAGGCACGAAAGCGUGGGGAGCAAACAGGAUUAGAAACCCCGGUAGUCCCAUGA